rnacentral:rRNA from 1 species
UACGUAGGGUGCAAGCGUUAUCCGGAAUUACUGGGCGUAAAGAGCUCGUAGGUGGUUUGUCGCGUUGUUCGUGAAAACUCACAGCUCAACUGUGGGCGUGCGGGCGAUACGGGCAGACUAGAGUACUGCAGGGGAGACUGGAAUUCCUGGUGUAGCGGUGGAAUGCGCAGAUAUCAGGAGGAACACCGGUGGCGAAGGCGGGUCUCUGGGCAGUAACUGACGCUGAGGAGCGAAAGCGUGGGGGAGCAAACAGG